GGACGAACGCUGGCGGCGUGCUUAACACAUGCAAGUCGAACGGUGAAGCGAGUGCUUGCACUCGUGGAUCAGUGGCGAACGGGUGAGUAACACGUGAGUAACCUGCCCAUCACUCUGGGAUAAGCACUGGAAACGGUGUCUAAUACUGGAUACGACCAACCCUUGCAUGGGGUGUUGGUGGAAAGAUUUAUCGGUGAUGGAUGGACUCGCGGCCUAUCAGCUUGUUGGCGGGGUAAUGGCCCACCAAGGCGACGACGGGUAGCCGGCCUGAGAGGGUGACCGGCCACACUGGGACUGAGACACGGCCCAGACUCCUACGGGAGGCAGCAGUGGGGAAUAUUGCACAAUGGGCGAAAGCCUGAUGCAGCGACGCCGCGUGAGGGAUGACGGCCUUCGGGUUGUAAACCUCUUUCAGCAGGGAAGAAGCGAAAGUGACGGUACCUGCAGAAGAAGCACCGGCUAACUACGUG
rnacentral:rRNA from 1 species